UCAGUGGCUCUUGUAGUGCACUCCCUAUAUGUGUUCAGACACUUGCUGUAGAUGCUCCAAGUCUUUCCCCAGUAUAAUUUCCUCGCCAAUGCUUUGUGUAGAUAUUUGUCCUCUGCUUGAGAUCACAACUGUGAAAUGCUUCAAGUGGCAAGUGUGCUGUCCCAUCUCUGGCUGCAGUGACAGAGGGGACAGCUACAUAAGCGAUGGAGGCAGGAGGCUGGCACAUCAUCCUGAGAGUGCAGUUUGAAGUAGUGAAGAAAAUGGAGUCUGAUUAAUACAUCAGCAGUGCAAAAAAUGGACAGUGAUUAUCCUUUGUUUUUCCAUUUGUGACUUCGCAGUGUGGAUCGAUCACAGUGCUCUGAACUCAGCAAAUUUUCUCCCUGCAAGCAGUGGAAAACAUUGAUGCUUUAUUUACAAAGAAUUUCUGGAAAGCCUGUUGCACACACAUAUCAACAACUACUUGCUUGGAUGGUUUCAAUUUAAUAGGGUUUUGGAAAGCACAUGGAGAAUAUUUCUGUUGUAGCGCAUUUGACUUAGAAGUGAGCCAUGCGUGAAGGAGCGAGUUCGGAGGAGUUACAAUGUGUCCAGAUUGUGGGAAAAGCCCUUCAGAGUUGACACACAGGAGAAGUAUGGAGUACAAGCAAGGUGUGUCUAGAGUCUGCAGGGACCCAAUACACCCUGCACUAACAGUUAAAUGAGUGGGAGUUGCAUCCCUCAAACACCACAGCAUUUUGGCUACAUUUGAAUUUCUGAUUAUUCACUCCCUUACAAAUAGUUUCUAACUUCACAGUGUGCAGUAGCAAGUCUGAACACACAAAAAUCAGGUCACUGUUACUCAGACAUCUUUUAUUUCAAAAUACCUCAGUACCUGAUGCAAUUCACUUUAAAUA